UUUCCCAGUGCCUAUCUUUCAUGGCUUUGUUCGCCAUCAUCUCUAGUAACGGACACAUCUCAUUAAAAUCGUCGAUUUUCUUCUUCAAAUCAAUUUCGGUUAUGAUCGACUCGAUGUCAAUCUCGGACCAUGGGAUAUCAUAGUAGCUGUCAAUGAACUGGGUACUCCGUCACUUCGAUGCCGAAUAAGCUUUCACCACUGCUGAGAGUUUCGUAUCCCUCCCAUAAUUCAUCGAAGCGCGCUUGGAACAAGAUGAGCCUUGAAAUAUAAUAGCGAUAGUUAACAAAAAAUUAUGUUAUUGUUUCUUUUCAAAAUUUUUGCAUAUUAUUAUUGAAACAUUACCGUUCACUGGCUUC